rnacentral:tRNA from 1 species
AUUUAUAUAGUAUAAUAAACAUCAUUACAUUUAAUUUCCAAUUAAAAUAUUUAAUAUAACUUAAUAUAAAUA